ACCUAAAAAAGAAUACUUAAGUAACAAAAGUUUAGUUUUAAACUUUACAUUAAAUUAAUUUUAAACUAAACAUUAUCGUAUUAAAACAUAAAAUAUAAAUACUAUUAUUAUUAAUAUACUAACAUAAUACAUUAACGGAUUGAUAUUAUAUAAUUUUUACGUUUUAAUACAGCAAUACUCUGUAACUUAUAUCUAUAUUUCACUAAAUAUUGAAUUUAUUUAUAUAUAAAUUAUAUAAAAAUGGUAUAAAUUACCAAAAAGAAAAAAUAAUUAAUAGUAGCAUGAUGAAUAAUCAUGCAUUAUAGCAAGUUAGAAAAUAUAGGUGCUGAAAUUUAUUAUAAAAUGUAAGUAAAAGCAAGUAGAAUAAUUCUCAAAAUAAUAUUGGACUUAAAUGAAAAAAUAAACAGAUGUGCACAAUAUUAUAAAAAAUAACAAUUUUAUAUUCUAUUUGUUAUACAUUUAAUUAAUUGCUUUGCAUAAUCCUUAAUAAUGAAUUAGGGAUUAAAUGGCCAAGACAAAUGGUAAUUGGUACAUAUAGACAUUAAAUUUACUUUUAGAACUUCAAUUACUUACCUUCUCAUGAUUGUUAUUAAUCAUUACAUCCAUAAUACUUUACCUGAACAAAAAACAUAUAAAAGUCGGAUAUGAUAUGUUAAUGUUAGCAUAGACAAAAAAUAUUACUAAUAGAUUCCAUUUAUAUUAACAUGUUAAUCAAAAAACCUAUAUUAUAAAGUAACAUUUACUAGAAAUGAGUUGUGAAAAUUUUAUGAACUAAAUUGUUUUUACUAACUAAAUGGUUUUUGGAUUUCAUGAAGAGAUAAUUACUUUGUAUUUAUUGGCAUGAAGAUGACUGAUUAUUUAUAAGAUAUUUUAACUGAAGUUUGUGAGAAGAAUACCUAUGAAAUGAACGUGUGAAUUUGAAUAGCAAUAUUGUCAUGUAACUUGUUCUAAUUCAUUCUUUAUUCAUAUGAUAGAAAGUAUUCUAUUAUUCUAUUAUAUAUUAUUCUUCUUGAGGAAGAAGAAAGAAACGAAAUAUAUACUCUGUCUAAUGAGACGAGGCAGCAAACAAAACUUGAAUACGUUUACUACCUCGUCUCGUUAAAUAGAUUAUAUAUAGUCAAAUCAAAAAAGAAAACAUAAGCAUUGGUAAUGACAUUACCAAGCAUAUGCAUACAGAUAUAUUGCGAAUCAAAUUCCUUUUAAUCUUUUCAUACCAAAACUUCAUUAAAGUAACAAUUACAUCAUAUCCCACCACUUAGUGGAGAUGAAAGAGAAGUCGGGCUUUUAACAGCUUAGAGUUACCUUUUUCACCGAGUUUCCACUUCCAAUACAUCCAAAAAAAAAAGAAACAAGUAUAAGCUAGAACAAAACAGACUAUAGUAACACAAAGCAUAUACCUAAAAUAAAAGUCACAUAGCACAAUUAAAUAUAAGGUACGAAUUUAGUAAUACAUGUUCAUUAUGAUCAUAAAUGUUCUAAUAAUACUUAUAAAUGUUACAUACAUUAUUCCUGUAUUCCUAUAUGUUAUAUAUAUAUGAUAAUGAUUUAUUACGUACUUACUAAUCUAAAUUUGUGAAGUAUAGUAUUUCAACAAAAUAUAUAAUAUUAAAUGAAAAUAUUACCAUUAAUAAUAAAAUAUUAUUAUUAUAUAAAAAUUUUAUAUAAGUAAAUAAUUAUAUCCAUUAUUUUUAUAAAUAUAUAUAUAUAUAUAUUCCAUUUUGUGCAAGAAGUCAUGACAAUAAACAAAUUAAUAUUACUCGAAUCAUAAUAAAAAUUAAACAUGCAGCCAUUCCAAAAGUAAAGCAUAUGGAGAAUCCACAAAAUGGAGUAAGAAUUUGAAGUACAGUUCGCAAUAGAUCAUUUUUUUAUAUGUAACAUUAGUUCUAUUAUACCAUUAUUCCAAAACAUAAUUUUUUUGUACAAACUCGAUGACAAAAAAGAAAAUGUAAAGCAGCAAACAAGAAUAAAAUUACUCUUAGGACACUGAAAAUAUAAAAACAUUGUGCUUACAUAUUGCACAUUAAAUGUUCAAUAUCCAGUUAUCCAAA